rnacentral:rRNA from 1 species
UACGUAGGGUGCGAGCGUUAAUCGGAAUUACUGGGCGUAAAGCGUGCGCAGGCGGUUCUCCAAGUCCGUUGUGAAAGCCCCGGGCUCAACCUGGGAAUGGCAAUGGAUACUGGCAAGCUAGAGUGCGGUAGAGGGUAGUGGAAUUCCCGGUGUAGCGGUGAAAUGCGUAGAGAUCGGGAGGAACACCAGUGGCGAAGGCGGCUACCUGGACCGGCAUUGACGCUGAGGCGCGAAAGCCAGGGGAGCAAACGGG